GCAAGACAGUGUUCAAAGCAGAGUGAAUCUGGAGCAGUUCUGAGUAACUCUGAGCAACUCUGAGGAAUUUGCGAUUCGAAAUUCCCACCCUUGAAUCAUCUUGAUUUUGGCAAAGCGGUUCAAAAAAAAAAAAAAAAGAAUAACAAACCAAACUCAGUUUGACGUAUCGAAACAGCGAUAAAUAAUGAAGAUGAAAAGUUUUGAAGUAAUUAUUGAUUGUAAAGAAAAAUUUCUUAGCCGCAUAUAGCAAUGGAUUCAGUGUGAAAAACAUGCUAUUUGCAACUAUCAAACGGUUAUCCUGCCGCAUCUACGCCUACGCGGUGACAAGCCUGAAGAUUAAAUCCAGCAAGGACAAUAUUCGCCCGAUAAAGACACAAGACCGAUCGUCAUGAAGGACAAAACUGCAAAUGAGAUGUAUUUCCAGUGCCGGGAAGAAAAAUGUCUGUUCGAAGGCGAAUGGGACCGUUUACAAUCCGGGAUAGAAGCAGGAACUACUUCCUGUCGGAGACUUAAUUCAGUUUCGAUGUUGAAUCUGUAUUUGAAUAUUCCGUAUUCAUACCGAGAAUAAAACGUAAAUUGAAACAGUUUUCAUGUA